rnacentral:rRNA from 1 species
CGGAAUGAGUAGCGCGAAUGCAGUGAGAAUCUGCAUGGCCGAAAGCCUCAGGUUUCUGGAGGAAGGUUCGUCCGCUCCAGGUUAGUCGGGAGCUAAGGUGAGGCCUAACGGCGUAGCCGAUGCACAGACGGUAGAGAUUCCGUCACCACCAAAAGAGUUAAACACAGGGACACAUAUGAAGUCUCGGAGCCGGGUGUUGGUUCCGGUAGCGAUCGAGGGAAAUUAGUACCGAAGUCCGGGAUGGAAGAUGGCGAGAAAAGCUGUGUGUAUUUCUGCGGUGCCCGUACCGCAAACCGACACAGGUAGGUAGGAAGAAGAUUCUAAGGCCAACGGGAGAAGGGUUGUUAAGGAACUCGGCAAAUUGACCCCGUAACUUCGGGAGAAGGGGUGCUCCAGAGAUGGAGCCGCAGAGAAUCGGCCCAAGCAACUGUUUACCAAAAACACAGGUUUGUGCUAAAUCGAAAGAUGACGUAUACGAGCUGACGCCUGCCCGGUGCUGGAAGGUUAAGAGGAGAUGUGCAAGCAUUGAAUCGAAGCCCCAGUGAACGGCGGCCGUAACUAUAACGGUCCUAAGGUAGCGAAAUUCCUUGUCAGGUAAGUUCUGACCCGCAUGAAAGGCGUAAUGAUUUGGGCACUGUCUCAACAGCCCGCCCGGCGAAAUUGUAGUACCGGUGAAGAUGCCGGUUACCCGCGACAAGACGGAAAGACCCCAUGGAGCUUUACUGUAGCCUAAUAUUGGGUUUCGAUGUUGCAUGCACAGGAUAGAUGGGACACUGGGAAACAAUCGCUUUGGCGGUUGCGGAGUGGCCGUUGGGAUACCAUCCUUGCGAUAUUGGAAUUCUAACCUGCGCCUUUGAAUCAAGGCGGGGGACAUUGUUAGGUGGGCAGUUUGACUGGGGCGGUCGCCUCCUAAAGAGUAACGGAGGCGUUCAAAGGUUCGCUCAGCUUGAACGGAAAUCAAGCAAAAGAGUGCAAACGCAGAAGCGAGCCUAACUGCGAGACUGACGGGUCGAGCAGUAACGAAAGUUGGAGUUAGUGAUCCGGUGGUAUGUGAGUGGAAAUGCCAUCGCUCAACGGAUAAAAGUUACCCUGGGGAUAACAGGCUGAUCUCCCCCAAGAGUCCACAUCGACGGGGAGGUUUGGCACCUCGAUGUCGGCUCAUCGCAUCCUGGGGCUGUAUUCGGUCCCAAGGGUUUGGCUGUUCGCCAAUUAAAGCGGUACGCGAGCUGGGUUCAGAACGUCGUGAGACAGUUCGGUCCCUAU